CACGUAGGAGGCGAGCGUUGUCCGGAAUCAUUGGGCGUAAAGAGCGCGCAGGCGGCUUGGCAAGUCGGGUGUGAAAUCCCGGGGCUCAACCCCGGGACUGCACUCGAUACUGUCAGGCUAGAGGUAGGUAGGGGAGAUCGGAAUUCCUGGUGUAGCGGUGAAAUGCGCAGAUAUCAGGAGGAACACCGGUGGCGAAGGCGGAUCUCUGGGCCUUACCUGACGCUCAGGCGCGAAAGCUAGGGGAGCGAACAGG
rnacentral:rRNA from 1 species